rnacentral:rRNA from 1 species
UACGAGGGGGGGCUAGCGUUGCUCGGAAUCACUGGGCGUAAAGCGCACGUAGGCGGCUUUCUAAGUCAGGGGUGAAAUCCUGGAGCUCAACUCCAGAACUGCCUUUGAUACUGGGGAGCUCGAGUCCGGAAGAGGUGAGUGGAACUCCGAGUGUAGAGGUGAAAUUCGUAGAUAUUCGGAAGAACACCAGUGGCGAAGGCGGCUCACUGGUCCGGUACUGACGCUGAGGUGCGAAAGCGUGGGGAGCGAACAGG